AGACGACUAAGAAGAUGGAAGGGGAAGUACAGGCAGUGAACCAGGAAGCGCAUCGACUCAGAGGCACUUGACCCUCCCAGGAGUCGGCCAGGACGCCUGCUGGCUGGCGCAGGGCCCAGAGCAUGUGUUUCCACACAUACUACUCUCAUUGGUGGCUUCCGUAGAUGCCCGAAGAGUAUCUGAGGACCACAUCACUAUACUGUCUGGUGUUUUAAAGACCACAACCUUUCAUCUUGAAAUUUCAAGGAUUUGGUCCUUAUUGGUCCCAGACCAACCCAGGAGAGAGGAGCAAUGCUCAGCACAAAUUUGGAUUUUCCAUCAUUUCAAGCAGAUGUGCGAAGCCAGAUGUGGACCAGCUCAAGGAAGGAGGGCCUUAUGGCCAGAGUAUUUUACAUAGUCAGUGGUAUAACUCAUGAGAGCUAAAUAGAAAAACGAUGAAUUUAGAUGCAGAACUAAGCAGAGUGAGAGGAAAGAAAAAGGCUUGUCACACAAUCUUGUCUCUGUUAUCCAACAAGAUAUGCUAACAUUUCUUUAGGGUUGAGGAAUCCCCUUGUGAAGACUAUGUGUGUAUACAUGUGUAUAUGUAUGUGUAUUUGUUUCAGAGUGUGUGUGUGCACGCAUUCAUAUGUACUAUCUGCUCUAGUCAGAGAGGUAAGAUAGCCAAGGCUAAUGAAGGAUGCAAGCCUGUUGAAAUGAAUCAAUAUUUUGGCCUCCUCUGGCAACCACAUGAACAAAUGUAAUCUGAAAAACAUUAUUAAAACCCAUAGCCCCCAGACAUUGUAGGUUUGUGUGGGCAAAAGUAAUUACA
rnacentral:lncRNA from 1 species